UCUGCGCUCUAUUGGCCAUUUCGGAUUAUUUACAGAUUCAAACAAAAUUAAUCGAGACCAUUAGGAUCGAAUAUGCAACUAUCGAAUUCUCACUUCGGUGUUCAUCUAGCUUAAGAACGUGACCCGUGUUAGAUGAAAGUGUUCCACAUUAAUUAAUUUAGGAAGUGAUCAUGUGUUUAUAAUUAAAUAAUACAUUUUUUUAUUGGUGUUAAGGCCUUUUGAGGAAGUUCAAAGAAAGUGGACAAUAUGCUACCAUUGUGGAGAGUCAUGUUCGUCUAACAACCAUAACUACCCAACCCUUAAAAAUCUUGGGUAAGUGACUGUCUUCACCUUUUUUGUUUGUUGGGUCAACUAUUUUAAGGUUUGUAACUGAUGUUAAUGAUAAAAUGCAAGAUGUUU